UUUAUUUUAUACGGCUACGCUAUGCCUUUUGCCAGUGUCGAGUUAAAAACGGGGAAACGGGAAUUGAGGAAAAUUGCCUAAUAACGGAAUUUGGAAAGGAUUUGGAUCAGGAAAAUAAGGAUAUAAAACAGGGAAAAUAAACAUUAUUAUACACAUAAAUAAAAAUUAAGUUUAUAAACAUCAUAACUUUAAACUAUUUACAGAAAUAAAAGAGGCUAUACAAUUAUAUACAUGAACAUCUUUGUGAAACAGGAGAGACAUUAUGGAAGUCGGGAAGGGAAUAUGCAAAGAGGUUACCGCCUCAUUUGCGAGACGAUCAGCAAUUUCGUUGCCUCUAAUCCCGCUGUGACCA